rnacentral:rRNA from 1 species
CGUGACUCCAAUUGAACCGCACGCUUCACCCCUUGUGGUGCUCCCCCGCCAAUUCCUUUAAGUUUCAUACUUNGCGUACGUACUACCCAGGCGGCAGACUUAACGGCUUCCCUGCGGCACUGCAUUGGCCACAAGCCAAUGCAUCACCGAGUCUGCAUCGUUUACAGCUGGGACUACCCGGGUAUCUAAUCCGGUUUGCUCCCCCAGCUUUCAUCCCUCACCGUCGAACGUGUUCUGGUACACCGCCUUCGCCACAGGUGGUCUUCAACAGAUCAAAGGAUUUUACCCCUUCCUAUCGAGUACCGUGUACCUCUCCCACUCCCUAGCUGCACAGUAUUUUCGGCGGCCUAUACGUUAAGCGCAUAGAUUUAACCGAAAACUUAUGCAACCGGCUACGGAUGCUUUAGGCCCAAUAAACCUCCUGACCACUCGAGGUGCUGGUUUUACCGCGGCGGCUGACACCAGAACUUGCCCACCCCUUAUUCACCAGUGAUUCUACAACUGACAAAAGACUCCUUUAGCAGGAGACACUCGGAUUAACCUUGUCGUGCUUUCGCACAUUGCAAAGGUUUCUCGCCUGCUGCGCCCCAUAGGGCCUGCGUCCCGGUCUUCAUACCAUCUCCGCGGCCCUCUUCUCAGAAGCCAUACUGCUAUCGCCUGGUGGGCCUUACUUCACAAAAAGUGUUAGCCGAGUCUAUCUACGGGAUAAUCAUUCAGCAAGGCCAUCCAGCCUGUGGCCCU